rnacentral:rRNA from 1 species
AUACGGAGGGUGCAAGCGUUGUUCGGAAUUACUGGGUGUAAAGCGCGUGCAGGCGGUAAGGUAAGUCAGAUGUGAAAGCCCCGGGCUCAACCCGGGAAGUGCAUUUGAUACUGCCUUUCUUGAGUAUGGGAGAGGAGAGUGGAAUUCCCAGUGUAGAGGUGAAAUUCGUAGAUAUUGGGAGGAACACCCGUGGCGAAGGCGACUCUCUGGACCAAUACUGACGCUGAGACGCGAAAGCGUGGGGAGCGAACAGGAUUAGAAACCCCAGUAGUCC